rnacentral:rRNA from 1 species
AGAAUCAACGCUGGCGGCGUGCCUAACACAUGCAAGUCGAACGAGAAAGGGUAGCAAUACCUGAGUAAAGUGGCGCACGGGUGAGUAACACGUGACUAACCUACCUUUUAGUGGGGGAUAACCUAGGGAAACCUGGGCUAAUACCGCAUAAUACCUACGGGUCAAAGCAGCAAUGCGCUGAAAGAGGGGGUCGCGGCCGAUUAGCUAGUUGGCGGGGUAAUGGCCCACCAAGGCAGUGAUCGGUAUCCGGCCUGAGAGGGCGCACGGACACACUGGAACUGAAACACGGUCCAGACUCCUACGGGAGGCAGCAGUGGGGAAUUUUGCGCAAUGGGGGAAACCCUGACGCAGCAACGCCGCGUGGAGGAUGAAGUCCCUUGGGACGUAAACUCCUUUCGAUCGGGACGAUAAUGACGGUACCGGAAGAAGAAGCCCGGCUAACUUCGCGCCAGCAGCCGC